CAGAAGCAAAGACAAUGUAGAGUUUUCAAACUAAAGCAAGCUCCUAACGUCACAAAACAGAUUCAAAGUUAUCAUCAAAAAAGCACAAACACACUGAAAAUGUUGCUUAGUAGAGCACAAACACACUGAAAAUGUUGCUUAGUAAAACACAUACAUGAACAAAUAAUCAAUAAACGUGUUUAAAAGACAUAGACAAAGGACCAACGACAAAGCAGUGGACGCAAAAACGCAAAAACAUAUUUUUGGCACAAAUGGAACCCCAUAAGAAAGUCAGCAUUCUAUAAAGCUGUCUAUGAUUUUUAUCAUGAUUAACCGGAUCAACUAGGCCCAACAGGAAAUAUUGCGGAUCCUUAUUUAAGUCAGCAGACAAGAUUAUUUUUAUUUCCUGACCAAUGGUGUUCCAAAAGUGUUGAACUUUGGAACAGGAACAAAAAACUGUGUGAGAGUACCAAUAUCAGUCUUACAUUUCAAACACAGUGCAGAAGAGCCAGGUUUAAAUUUUUGGCAUUCAUAAGAAGAGAUGUGAGAUCUAUGCAAGAUCAUUCUCUGUUACAAACACUCAGCGUUUGCACAUUUCUCCAAGAGUUUUCCCAGUCCUCACCAGUAAUGCACUUUGAAUUGUCUCUGUACAUGAAAUGUGCUAUACAAAUAAACUUGCCUUGGCUUGCCUUGCCUAAUUUUCAAACCAAAUUCCCUCUCCCACAGUUCCUUCAAAUGAGAUGUAUUUGCAUUUACACUAUGUCCUUUAAGUAUAUUGUAGAAUUUCCUAAGAGAGUAUGUUGAUUUAGUCAAAAAAAGCUGUCUCUCAAUGUCUGAUAUGGCCUGAGAUACCGGGUGUGAAAAAUGUUUACUAACAAAAUCUCUCACUUGUAAAUAUUGAUAAAAGUCUGUUCUGGGAAUAUUAUGUUUUUCAAUCAAUUGACCAAAUUACAUCAAAGAGGGUCCCUCUAGAAAAUCCUGCAAUUUGGACAAUCCCUGAGAUGCCCAAAUAUGAAAUCGAUUAUCCAUCAUUCCCGGCAUAAACUGGACUAUUGCAUAAUGGGAUACGUGCUGAAGUUACACGAGACCUUCCCUCCAGUUUCCUUAUUGUUUGCCAUGCUGUAACAGUUGCCAUUGUGAUAGGAUUGAUGCAUUAGGAUUGAUGACUCAGAGAGGGAGACAGUGACUGACAGAGAGAGAAACUGCUGCCUCACAGACAGUGCAUGGCAAUGUGGUCGGUCGCCCAGGGCACAAUCUAGUAGCGGGCGCACGAGUGGCGCCCCCCAAAAAAUUGCCAGGUUUUGCUUUGUUUUAUACCCAUUUAAAGCUAAGUUAAAGUCCCUCUAUUUGGCACGCACCUAAGUGUGAGAUUUGUUCUCUGCAUUUGACCCAUGCCCUGGGGGAGCGGUGAGCUGCAGACACAGCCGUGCUCGGGAACCAUUUGGUGGUUUAACCCCCCAGUCCAAUUCCUUAGUGCUGAGUGUCAAGCAGGGAGGCACAGGGUCCAAUUUUUAGAGUCUUUGGUAUGACUCGGCUGGGAUUUGAGCCCACAACCUUCCAAUCUCUACCACAAGACCCCUACAAACAUGUCAACUUGCUGCCAUGACGACAACAUUUUUAGCUAUCUGUGUAGAAUACGCUUCAGGAAGGCACCGGGGGGAGAUGACACUUGCAACUCCAGAGGAUGUGAUCAGGUCGAAAGGAAAAGCAGGUAGAGAGGGAUGGGAGGGACUUAGACUCCCCACUUGUGAUUCCAGACAACACAACAACCAGUGAACCAAUACAUUUUUAAUUCAAGAGGUAGUAAAAUGCAAAAAAAUGCAUUAAAGAACACUCACUAGGGACUCCAAUUUGCAAAACUUCAGAGUUAAUGGAAAUGCAGCUAAUGUUGUACAAGUGUUCCAUUGCGUGCGUUAUGCAUUUAUUUAUUAGGUAUUUUAUGUAUUUAUUACAUAUUUUAUAUUUUUGUUAUAUUUUAUUGGUUGAAUUGAUUAUGGAUUGACCAGAGAAAAUUUAAAAUUCCAUUUCUCUUGACACAACGAUGAUAAUAAAUGUACUCCAAUUUUCACACCUCUAUGUACUUGUGUAAAAAUUUGUAGUGGUCCUUUUGAAAGAACAUUUUUUAAAUUUGAAAAUCAGGUGUUGCAUCAAUACUGGGUGUGUUUCAAACACACCUCUGCCAACUUAAUGAAGGUUGAGCGAUCCUCUUUAAAGAUGAAUGGAAGUGCAAGAACUUCAGUGGAUCUCCUGUUCUGCGUGACCAAAACAGGAAAUUUGGCUUUAGAGACACAGAUACAUCAACAUGGAGCAGCUGGACAUGUUUCAGCUUUUUUGUAAAGUCUCUUUCUGUAUAACCUGUUUUUAUAACCUCUUCAUACCUGAAUUUUAUUCCACAAAAAAAAAAAAAGAUUUAGAUACUCUCCACCAUAAGACAGUUAAAAAAAUAAAUGUCUGCCGACUCAUAUUUAAAGGUUCUUUAGCAUGAAAAAUCAACUUCCUUAGUUUUAAGUGUAAUACAUACAUCUUUGCAAAACUUUGGAUGUUUGUUUUCAUGGGCAAAACGCAGACAGGCUGCCGAGGCCGGCUCUAGGAUGAUGUCAUGAAAUGAAAAAACAAGAAAAACAUAAAAAAACAAGUUAUCUAGUGUGUCAAAGGUAAUAUAUGAUAAUAUAUAUGGAUAUAGUUUACUCUGAAAGAGUUGAGAAUAGCAUGAUAUAGGCCCUUUUUUAAUCAGCUUUGUUUUAUUCUCUCCACAAUGGCCCUAAACUGUCUUUAAAAAUUCAGAAUCACAGCUCAUCACUGUUAGGGAACAGCACUGAGGUGACCUCCAUGAAAACCUGGAGCCUGUAAGAAGAGUGUCUUUGAUGUACUGGGUUUACUAUGUAUGUAUCCUGUCUGUCUAUGUGUGUCUUGUCUGUAACCCCCCAUUUCAAGAGUUAACAUCCUCAAAAUUAGUAACCAUUUGUAAGUUUUGAAUAGGGCAGAAUUAGUUCAAGAAAUACAUGCAAGAAAGCAGAAAAUUUAAAAAUAUGUUGAGAUUUUUAUAUAAGCAGAAAAUCUGUUAAGAUUUCUAUGGCACUUUUUCUGACAUUUAAAAUUUUAGCACAAACAUUUACAAGUAUAUGUAAAAUAUGGAUCACAGUAUUGUGCUGCCCUGCUAAAAGAAAAACAUGAAAGAUAGUGGCCAAAUUAAUUAAAAAUAUUUGCCCUAAUUGAAAAAAAAAAUACUUAAAGCCAGGAGGCUUAACCCUAUAUAUUGGACACAAUUUUACACUUCAAUUACACCCCUUAGAAAAUCAAAUGUAUGGACUAAAGUCUAUUUCUAGCAGCCAAUUUCAAAAGAAAAUGUGACCACCUUGGUCAGUAAAUAAUCUCAUGUGUAAAUAUAAAUUGAUUAAAUUUAUCCUAAGACACUUCAAUAGCAAAGACAACUUAAACAUCAUGACUUGAGGUCACCAUCAUUUAUUUCUAUUCCAUUUUCCAGGCACUGCUGGAAUGACCCAUACCUGGAUGGAAUAGAUUCCUGCUGGUCUAACCCAGUGCCUGAAAAACAGUCUCUAAACCAGAGGUGUCCAACUCUAGGCCUCGCAGGCUGAGAUGGAGCUCGUUUUCCAGAUCUCCCUUUUCAACUUACCUCUGAUUGUAUGGAACAAGUGUGUUAAGCCAAUUAGAAGCAAAAAAGAGAGGUUAAUAAAAAAAAAAAAAAAAAAAACAGGAGGUCCUUCAAUUCCUGGAAAUGUCCUCCCUUUUCCCCCAUCAUGCUUCUAACUGGUCGGACACACCUGACCAGGUAAUCACGAGAAGAUGGAGCAAGGAGAUCGAGAAAACCAGCAGAAUCCCAGCCCUGGAGGUCGCAAGUUUGACACCCAGAGCAGAUGAUGCAAUGGUCACGAAAAUCAGUAUGUUUAUAAACAGAUCAUCAUAGUGAACAUUUCAGUUUAUUAUUCACUUACUACAGAAUCAAGAAGAUGUCAUGUCCCAGGUCAUGUCCCAGGUUUGUUUUGUGUACUUCUUCAUACAAGUUGAUCAACCUUAGCAAAUACUGGUCAUGUCCACUCAGGAAGGACUUCAAAAGGGCAGGAGAUACCAGGCGUGUAAACUCAGCACCAGUCUUUAAGGAGAGAACACAGAAUUAAAAAGUGACAUGCAGAAAAACCAUUUGCUCAUUCCUGGAUGAAUACAUAAUAUAUUUAAUGGAUCUAAAAGUGACAAUAUUUUUAUAGCAUAAUGAGGCAUUGCUAUGACAAAAAGUAACAUUUUGUCGUACCUCAAAUGGAGAUAGAUGUAAAAACACCAAACUUUGUUUAACUGUAUGUGUUUUGUCAAGACUGACAAAAAUAUGUUAUAUAAAAAUUGUUGUAAUUGUAAUAAAGGAGGAACUUUAUGGGCUUUACGUUCAAAUCUGCCGUUCAUUGGUUGCAUGCUAAAAUUCAAACCAAUUGAUCAGGUCUGUAACCAAUCAGGGGCUCGGAUAUGGUAGUGACGCGUAGGUAGCGUCCUUUUCAAAACAGGGAAGUACUAACAGUUGUAAACAUGAUCACGAAGAAGAAAUUAAGAAUUGGCUGUCAUGAUAGAUCCGGCUCGUGUCCCUACCUCCAAAGAACCAGAGCUUUUAAUUUGCGACUAACAUCACUGUUUUUUCAAACCGAACAGCAUCAGGAGCUCCGCUCAUUCCCGCAGAUUACCCCCCCCCACCCCCACCCAAAAACACACACACACAUGCGAGCGCUCCACUGCCCAUUGACAGCAGACAGAGCGUCCUCUCAAUGUUGGACCAUAUUAAUGAAUUAAAAAGUCUGUGAGUUCCGAGGCUAUUUCAUGGUUUAUGUAAACACCAGAAUAUUCAAGGAACUGCGCUCAUACUGCUCGGUCACAAAAACAAAAAAACGCGGAUUUUCAAAGUUCACCGCGCGGACAACUGCCGUUAAAGUCACGGAGGGCGAUGUGAAAGCAGCAACUUAAGCUAACUUUCUAUGUUCACUAAUCAAAUGCAGUUUGUGUUUUCCCGCCUGCAUGAAUCCAGCAACUAGACACGUAACCAGCAGCACUGGGCCCAUUAAUUCAUUCCUUUACUUAGACUUUCAGUUAAUGUAAUAAAAACGACAGAUAAAAAAAGCUUAUGACUAGAAAUUGUCAUUUCAGAUAGCUAACUAAAUAUGCUAGCAAGUCUGCUUUGGACAAAGCAAAGGGGAGACGGCCGUCUUUUUGGGCUUAACAUUCAAAAAAUGGGCGCUGUGAUUUCAUCAUGCGGUCGUGCAGGCACAGGUUGACCUGUGCAGGGGCAGUGUACGCAAACCCCGUCACACUUAAGUACAAGUUGGCCAAACUUAAAUUUUGAAGUAGACUGUACUACUGUUUUUGUUGGAAGUGUAACACGGUGCAGUCAAGGCAAAUCAAGAACACCUGAUCCAUGCUUUUAUUGUGGAGGAACCAGACACCAUAUAAGCUCCAGGUUAGCAGGUGCACUUCCUGCUGCAUGCCUUCUACUGCCCACUUCCUGAUUCUUGCUCUCAGCUGCUGCUGCUGCUGCUGCUGGUAGCCUUUGGACCUGGAAAUUGGCUAACCUGCCACUGCUUCUUAUUUGAACGUGUUGACCACCUCAUCGGUCAGGUUUUUUUCGUUUUGUAUUUCUUCAAUUGAUGGCGAGCUACCCAACCUGAACCCACCUGGACAAUAACCACCUCUUCAAUUAUCCCAUCAAACCACAACAGAACUCAACGGAUCAUCACCACCACUCUCAUCCCAUUGAACUGCAUGAACCUGGACAAUCCAACCUCAUGCUCCUCAAACCUCAGCCUCCUUGGUUUACUGUCCCUAUUGUGUUUUUUUUGUUUUUUUUUUGUUUUAAUACAAUCGAUUGAAUUCUU